AUGACACAUAUUUGUUUAUAUAUGUAUAAUCUAACGACAUCUAAGCUUCCUAAUUUUCAUUAAUCAUCAUCUUCAGCAUCUCAUUUCUCCCUUUCAGCGUUAAGAAAGAAAAGGAAAGAAAGCACCGAGAGAGAAAGAAAACCAUGAGAGAGAAUGAGAGGAACCAUAGCACCGUAAAACUUUUGGUUUCGAUUUCUUGCGAUCCGUAACUCCAAUAAAAAAUUUAAUCCGAUAAAAGUGUUCGUAUUCUCCUCUUCUACGUAUUGGCGUUACUUUUGAUCGGUGGAAGUCGACGGUGACGUAGCUUUCCUGCCCCUUGAGUUCGGUCAACUGGAGUUCUAGGAGGCACAGAUAAUUUCUGACGCUUUCCUCUUCAGUAGCUCGGUCAGAAAGUCUUCCAGAACUUUCGUUGAUUUUGAUUUCAUACGGAGUGACACAGGUUCGAAGAUUCAGUUAGAAGAUGCAGACGACUAGUAGAUUUACUUGUGAUUCCUGUUAUUUUUAUAGAGUUCCCUCGCCCUUGUUGCUUUAAGUUUUAUUUUAUCCAGAGGGAUAGGUAUUAUAUUUGAGUUUUAUGUUGAAUUCAUUUGUAUAGCAUUUAUUAUUAUUAAUAAUUGUGUGAUUUGAAUUA